rnacentral:rRNA from 1 species
AAUGUGUUAUGAAAAAACUUUUUAUCAGACCUUGAAAUUAUUUGCUAAAAGAGAUAAUUCUUCCUCUCAAAUGGCGUGCCAGCAGUCUCGGUUACACGAUUAGGAGAAAAAAUAGAAAUUUUUUAUUAAAAGUGAAAUUAAAAAACAAACCAAAAGUAGGUGAAAUUAUUUGGAAAAUAAAACAAAGUUUAAUAAAAAGAAAAAACAGAAGAAAAAGGAUUAGAUACCCUUCCACUUUUUAUCAAAGGUAAUAAAUGAAAAACAUAAAACCUAAAAGUUUUGGCGGUUUUCUAUCCUCUCAGGGGAAUUUGCCUAAUAAAUCGAUACCCCCCGAUUAAAAAGACCUUUUUUUAUUAACUUAUAUAUCUCCGAGGAAUUAGAAUUAAUACCACUAUUUACUCAGGUAAAAUAUAGUUUAUAUAAAGGAAUUGGUUAAUUACUAAAAAGAAAUUGAAUAGACCUUUCAAAAUAAUAAGGACCUGAAAGUAAAAUUUUUAUAAAAUAAAAAAUUGAAAUGGCAAUUGAAAAUGUACAUAUCGCCCGUCGUCCUAAUCAUUAGGUAAGUCGUAACAAAGUAGAAAUUUCGGAAGAAGUUUCUUGU